GGGGAGCCCGCCGGCGCUGGCGGGGGAAGAGGCCGCGGCGCCGGGGGCGGCCCCUUCCCUCCUGCUCCCCCCGCCGCGGGGCAGCCGCGGCCGGUCCGCGGGCGGCGGUGAGCGAGGCGGGCAGCCCCCCGCGCCGUGCCGGGCCAUCCUCACCUGUGUCGAGGUUGAAGGAGAUUGCGGGCCUCGGCGAGGUAGGGGGUGUCGCUCUUGAGCGGACGCGGCGGAUGGGUCUGCGGUCGAUGUCCUCCUCAGAAGAUGCCGCCAUUAAUGUGGGCACGUCCUCCACUUAGCAGAAUAUAAUUGCUGAAGAAGGCAACCAGAAAGAAACAACAGAGAUGAGAAAUUUACAGACACAGGAAGGAGACCGAAACACCAACUAACUAAGAAGAAAAACAUGGGCUAGAAUCUAAUCAUGGUCUCAUUGAGACACCUGCUUCCUGCCUGAAAUAAAAGGAGACCUCCAGCUGUGAGUCUGCUUCAGAUGAUUUGCCAUGUUAAGAAGAAGAAAGUGUUAAUAGACUGGUUUUAGUAAUGGAAAAUCUGAUUUCUUGGGCACAAAUUGAAAGCAAAAUCAUGAUGGAGAAUCUUAAAGAGAAACAAGAUUUUCAGUAUCGCCUACUCUGAUGAGACAAAAACGAAGUUCAGACAAUGCUAGUUAUGUAUAAUCUGAAAGAAAACAGCAACGAGAAGAUGAAAAUAAAAGUGGAUAGAGUUGAUGUUAAUCACAAUAGAAACCUAAGUGCAUUUCAGAUUUUGCAUUCAGUUAUAGAAACUGAUGUAUUACUGGAGUAGCACAGUUAACUUGCUUCAGAAUAACAGAGGAGGAGCAGAACUAGGGAGAAUUAUAUGCAUUUCACUUCCCUGGCUCUGAGUUUGGGCUACAUAAUGCUUAAUUUCACUUUGGUCCAAAAAACAUAUAAGUGUCUGGAAAUGUAUUGUCAGUUAUAAAAGCCUCCUUUUCUUCUGUCAUCAGCAAAGUAGGCUAUCCUUACUUUUUAGCUAACAAGUAAUUUCGCUGCAAAAGGGACGCCGAGAUUUGAUUCAAAACUUGUUCUCUUUUCCACUAUAUCAUGCUGGUCUGUGACAGCUCUCUACUAAAUGUGUCUGUUUCAUAGGAUUCAUCUUGAUAACAUAAACAUGCAAAGGAGAUAUAUAGCCAAGUAGAUUCCUUCAAACCUGUUAUUAAAAUAGCCCAUACCAAAUGUUUGAAGUUUUAGGUAAUUAUUUCAAUAUUUGCUACAUUGUUAUCAUAAUGACUAAGAACAUAUUCAAUCACUGCACUGUUUGACGAACACAGUAUUUUAAAAUUAAUGUUGCAUUUUUUAAAAUGAGAUGUCAUAAAAUAAAAGUACAGUGUCUCUAUUACCAAUAGUACUGCAGCAAAA